rnacentral:rRNA from 1 species
GCAAGUCGAACGAAGUGUUGAUUUUCGGAUUUUCACUUAGUGGCGCACGGGUGAGUAACGCGUGGGAACCUGCCCUUUGCUACGGGACAACCACUGGAAACGGUGGCUAAUACCGUAUAAUGCAGCGACGCAAGUUGUUGCCAAAGAUUUAUCGGCGAAGGAGGGGCCCGCGUUAGAUUAGCUUGUUGGUGGGGUAACGGCCUACCAAGUCUACGAUCUAUAGCUGGUUUUAGAGGAUGAUC